GAGCCAGAUGUCGUACUGCACUCCUCUAAUCCCAGCAACCUGGAGGCAGAGGCAAGAAGAUCUCAAGUUUGAGGCCAGCCUGGGCUACAUGAUGAGUUCAAGGUUCAAGGACUACACAUAUAUGAUGAAACUUUUGAUUCACAAAUUGAGAAUGACUGUUACAGUUCCUCUCAGUCACCUUAUCAGUGCCUUCCAUUCACCAAAACCUGUGUCUGUUUCAGUCAGUGCAUCCGUUUCUCAAAACAAGCAUCGAGAUGUAGUUCCAGAGCAUGAGGCUCCCAGCAGUGAGCCUACACUUAAUUUAAGGGACCUUGGAUUAUCUGAAUUAAAAAUUGGACAGAUUGAUCAACUGGUAGAAAAUCUACUUCCUGGAUUUUGCAAAGGCAGAAGUGUUUCUUCCCACUGGCAUACAUCUCACGUCUCUGCACAGUCCUUCUUUGAAAAUAAAUAUGGUCACUUAGAUAUGUUUCAUGCUUUACGUUCCUCUUGCUUGUUUCAACAAUAUCCAAGAACUCUUCAGAGAAUUUGUUCAGGUCUUCAGUACUGGCCAGGUAUGAAGCAACAGCUGUAUUUGUUUUGAAAAGUAUAAUAGAUUACUUAACAUUUUAAGAUUUGUUUUAAUGCUGCAAGUGAUUAUGACUGUCCAUUUGCAACGAACAACACUUAAGAGUAUUUGGAAUUUAUUAGUUCAGGUAGUUCUGUAUUAUUUUACAUCUGGAAAAUGUAUAAUAGGAACUAUAAACUUUGUGCGUGAGUGACAAAUACCAUAGUAAAUCAAGCUCCUGGGUAUUUAACUACAUCUCUUUCAAAAUAUCUGACUAAGUGCAUUUGUUUACUAACCUUCAUAUUGAAAUGAAAGAAAAAUAAUACCAAAAUGAGAAAGUCUAGAGGAACACCAGAAGAGUUUUAGUAAAUUAAAAUAGGUGACAGCAAAUUGAUAGUGAAAUCAAAUUUUCAUUCAUUAUUCAUUAAUCGAUUACCAGGCAUUAGUAAUAGUUGUUAAGUGAUAUUGAUAGUUGUGAGUGAAAAAGACAUGCUCCAUAUCUUCAUGAAAUUUAGGAUAGUGUGUCAUGAAAGAUGUGCAUACUUCUGUUUCCAGUAGAGCUCAGGAAAAACUCCCAAGUUUAGAGUCAGUUAGAGUGGGCUUUGGUUGAUAGAUAAAUAAUUGAAAGAUUGCCAGAAAUAGGAACAUGAAGAAUCUCCAUUUCUGUUUUUAAAUAAGAAUACAGCGAUCAGUGCUCACAGCAGAUGAGUUUCUUCAAUAUUACCAUGUAGUAAUUCCAUUUGGAUUACAAAUCACAGGCUACCACGAAUAAGUGUGAUAUCACAAGUGUAUGUGUGAUUCACCACUAAAGUAACCUAUUUGAGUUUUUGGCAUCAGUGCUCAAACCAGGAAUUUCCAGAGGCACAUUCCCCUAAACACAUAUACAUACACAUUCACUCUUCAUUCCAAUGUGCUUUUUUGCUAAUUGUAGCUUACAGUGAAGUCACAUCUGCUGUAGCAUUGGCCCAUUUUUGAGAUGGAAUUUUGCUAAGUAGCUCAGGCUGGCUUCACACUUCUAGCCCUUCUGCCUCGGUCUUCUGAGUAAAUGGGAUUAUGGGCAUGUACCACAGCAUGCAGCUGUGUUGAUGUGUUUUUUUUUGUUUUGUUUUUUUGAGACAGGGUCUUGCUAUGUUGUUCAGGCUGACCUUGAACUCACUUGUAUAGCCUUGGCUGGCCUCAAACUCACUGUGAUCCUUCUUUCUCAGCCACCCGAGUGCCUCAGAUGAUAUUAUACUUACAUUUUUUAUUUAGAAUGGUAAGUUUCCUGUUUAUAGUGGAAACUUUUUUUUUGGUAGUGGGAAUUGAACUCAGGACCUUGCGCUUGCCAGGCAGGCAUUUGUGCCACUGAACUAUAUCCUUGGCCCAAGUUUCCUGUUACUGAAAAGAUUUUUUUAUAAGUCAGAUGUACAUACAUUUACACCUAAUUACGUGGGAGCCUGAAGCAAAAGGAUAGAAUAUUUGAGGCCUACCUGGGCUUCUGAGUGAGAUACCAUGCUGAACAAGCACUUUACCACUAAGCUACAGUUCCAAUGCUAAAAGUUUAUUAAAAGGAUAAGCUAGGCAUGAUGGCAUGUACCUUUGGUCCAAGCUACUCUGAAGCUGAGUUUAGAUGAUCACUUUAGUCCAUGAGUUCACGAUGACUCCAGGCAGCAUGGCCAGACCUAGUAUUUCCCUGACCCCCAGAAUGAAAAAAGAGAUCUAUGUUUCCCUGUUUAAGCUGUAAGGUUACUGCUGUUACUAAAACUGGUCAUUAUUAGCAGAAAAAAAAAUAUGUCAGUUUCUUAAUAAAUACUGAAAUCCUAAGUAAAAUGUGACAAAACCAAGUCUAGACAUGUGCUAAAAAAAUCAUGAUCAGGGAAUACAGGUGUAAUUGUAAUACUAGUAAAUCUGUUAAUUCAUCAUGUUGAUUGGCGAAGGAAAAUGUAUUAUUUCACUGUGUGAUAUAUUUUAAUUGCUGUGCUUCCUGAAACGUUUAGAAAGCUAGAAAUGGAGGGAAACAUUUAAAAAUUUCUUAAAACAUCUGUUUGUUGCCAUCAAUGUGAGAAAUAAGGUGUCUAGUGCCUUAUUUUUAGACAGGAUUUGGGGAUUCUGAACAGUAUGAUUAAAAAGAAAGUCAAAUCAUAUAUACAUUAAAGGAAAGAGCAAAGUUGCAAUUUGUAGGACAUAUGGUUAUUUUCCUGAAAAUCAACCAAAGAUUGUUCAAAUAGUGAAUUUGCUUUGUUUUCAUACAAAGUAAAUGUAUAAAAACAACAGCUUUCUUUUAGCAGAUUUUAUUCACAGUUUGUUCAGAACCCAUUGUUUAUCCUGACAAGAAAUACAUGCUUAUACAUAUAUACAUAUGUAUGAGUUUGAAGCUUUACUGAGACAAAGAAGUGAGUAAAAGAGAAUGUCAAAUCAUGUUUGGAAGGACAUGGCAUUAUAACAGUAUCCAUUUAUGUCCAUAUUUAUAAAGUUAGCAUACUUCUAGUAAAAUCUCUAAAGACUUAUAGAAACUGGGAAGUUAGGUAUUUUUGAACAGUAGAACUCAGUAGUGUACAAUCAUGAAUAACUGCAAAACUAAGUAAUUUAAACUGGUGCUGGCCUAUAUCAGUGUAAAAAAAUUAAGGAUUUGAAUCAAUGAACAAGUGGUGGAUUAUCAAUAAAUGUAGUAGGCUAACUAUUCAUUUGAGAAAAGUUGUUUUAUAUGAAAAAAUAAAUUCCAGACUUUAAAGUUCUGAACGCAAUAAACACAUAAAAAAAAAAAAUCUUAGUUUGAGUUUGGGACUCUUAAUUAAGACAAAAAUAGAGAAACUACAGAUUUAAAAGUAUGGUUACGUUAAUACUACAUACAUUCUUGUAUGACGUAAUUGAAAGACAAGGAUAUAAUUGAAACAAAUAUUUACAGUAUACUCCUCUAAAUAUACGCAUAUACAUACACCCUAUAUAUAUGUAAAAUAUAUGCGCAUUAUAAUUAAAGAUUACUAUCUGUAACAUAUAGUCUACAAAGAAAUAAAAAUGUGAAGAGUGCAAGGGACAUGAUCAAUUAAGAAAAAUAGUAAGUAAAAAUACAAAAGACUUUUUUUUAAAACUUUCUCAGAGUUUUUUUAAUCUGGAGUAUACAAGAAUAACAAGAUACCAAUUUUUUCUUUUUUGCUAGUCAAAUUUAUGUAAAUUUAAAAGGUUUUAUUACCUAGUAUUAUUGAGAAGAUGAAGAAAAGGCACUCAUACAUUAGUAGGGACAUACAAUAACAGCUUUCUUCGAAGGCAGUUUCUUAAUGUUUCACUUCUGGUAAUUUGUUCUGCAUGUGUUGAAGGUUAUGUGUACAAGAAUGUUCACCGCAGUAUUAUUUUUAGCAAUAAAAAGGUAAUGGGAGCUGAGGUUGUAGCUCAUUGGUGGAGCAUGUGCUUAGCCUAUGUGAGGCCUUGGAUUCAAUCUUCAGACCAAACAAAUGAAAACAAAAUAGUAAUAAAUGAAUAAUGUCCAUAAUUGAGAAGUGGUUGAAUAAGUUAUUGUAGUCAGAUAAAUCAGAGAACUCUUAAGUGGCAUUUAAACUGAAUGUACUGUCUGUCCUAUAGUGAAGUACAUCUGUGGUGUACUAUUAAGGAAGACAGUUGUACAAAGUUAUGUUUUAUUUUUAGGAUAAUUUUUAUAGGAAGUAUAUAUAUGUUUGCAAGCAUAGAAUAGUCAUAGAAUUUUAUCAGUGGUUAUUGUGGGGAAGUUGGAUUAAGGUGUGUGGAAACACUGAGUUUUGAUAUUUUUUGUACUUUAAAAAAUAUUUUAUAGGGGCUGGGGAUUUAGCUCAGCGGCAAAGCGCCUGCCUGGCAAGCGCA
ensembl:lincRNA